AUACGGAGGGUGCGAGCGUUAAUCGGAAUUACUGGGCGUAAAGCGCGCGUAGGCGGCUAAGUAAGUCGGAUGUGAAAGCCCUGGGCUCAACCUGGGAAUUGCAUUCGAUACUGCUUGGCUAGAGUAUGGUAGAGGGUAGUGGAAUUCCUGGUGUAGCGGUGAAAUGCGUAGAUAUCAGGAGGAACAUCAGUGGCGAAGGCGGCUACCUGGACCAAUACUGACGCUAAGGUGCGAAAGCGUGGGGAGCAAAUAGGAUUAGAAACCCCAGUAGUCC
rnacentral:rRNA from 1 species